ACGAAACCUUUGAACAAGAGAAGUACGAAAAAUUGGGUGUAACCAGAGAGCUGCCGGUGGUGGGAGUGCAGCAGCACAGAUUUUUCCGAAUGGGCUUGUGAGGGCAGCUUGAAACUGUGAUGCAGGAGUAGACGCUGACGGGAACCCCGACCGUUAUCAGAGGGGUGCAUAUGAUGGUAUGCAAAAUGAGUGGGCGAUUUAUUAUCGUCAAUCAGGGUGGCAGCGCAGAAGUUUAAAAGCUUUUGUCCCUUUA
rnacentral:ncRNA from 1 species